rnacentral:rRNA from 1 species
AGUGAACGCUGGCGGUAGGCCUAACACAUGCAAGUCGAACGGCAGCACAGUAAGAGCUUGCUCUUACGGGUGGCGAGUGGCGGACGGGUGAGGAAUACAUCGGAAUCUACUUUUUCGUGGGGGAUAACGUAGGGAAACUUACGCUAAUACCGCAUACGACCUACGGGUGAAAGCAGGGGAUCUUCGGACCUUGCGCGAUUGAAUGAGCCGAUGUCGGAUUAGCUAGUUGGCGGGGUAAAGGCCCACCAAGGCGACGAUCCGUAGCUGGUCUGAGAGGAUGAUGAGCCACACUAGAACUGAUACACGAUCCGCACGCCUACGGGAGGCAGCAGCGGGGAAUAUUGGACAAUGGGCGGAAGACUCAUCAAGCCAUACCGCGUGGGUGAAGAAGGCCUUCGGGUUGUAAUGACCUUUUGUUGGGAGAGAAGAGCAGCUGCUUUAUACCCCGCUGUUCUGACGGUACCCAAAGAAUAAGCGCCGGCUAACUUCGUG